GUUCAGAUUUCUUCAACGGUGCCAAGACGAAAUGCGAAGAACUCAAUGUCGGUGACGCACCAGGUUCAUGCGUCCGUCCAUGCUCAGUAAGCGAAUCUCAAAAUCCAGCUCAGGAAUUCUACCAUAACUAAUCAAAGUUCAAUACAUCUUCGUGCUUGCACAAAAUCAAAGAAGGCGAGAUCGAUAUGAAAUUAUUGAAUUUACCAAUUCAAAGUUUCAGGUCGUUGGAAAAUGGUUGAGAAAAGAUGAAGAUGAAUUCAGUUAGGUUGGUUCUAUUGAGAGGGUGAUUGGAUUGAGAUAAGUGAGGGUUGGCCUCUUUGGUCACCUCUGUGAGUUAUGAUAAAAAGUGUUUUCAUUUCCCAGUUGGAGUUUGUUGAGGCGGUUAGAGGUUGAAGAGGUUGUUACAGUUUUUUUGAAUUCUGUUAGGGGAUUGGAGAGAUUUGAGAGGAGGUUCUAUUAGUUAGUUACAUUGCAGGGUAGCUUGGAAUGAUCGAUGGACAGGGUCGUGGGAUUCAGAUUUAAUGGCUGCCUUGGGAUUGCUUUGGGCUUAAGUUUGGAACGACAUAUGGUUCUUUUACCAUGGAAUGGACUUGGAAUUUGUUGGAAUUGGAUUUUCAUAAGGGAGAUUGAUUGAAGAAUGGAUGAAAUUGUGUGUACAGUGUGUAGGAGAAGAGCGAUCCAAAAUGUAGCGGAAUUUAAAGAUUUCUCCUUUAGUGAUCCUUACAAAUGGGCAUGAUCAGUGAUAAAUCGUUACCUCUUGUGGCAAUUGUAACCUUUGAUGCAUAUCUACGGAGCGAUCACGAAUGUUGAACGAUGACAACGCCUCUGCUCAGUCCACACGAACGGAUUCCUUCAAUCUCAGUGCUAGCUUCUACGAAUGAAGGCUUUGAGUGAGUGAGAGAGAGAGAAACGAAAUUGCAACUUCACAAAUGCUUCUGCGAAAGGGUUCUAUUUAUAGAACCACUUGUGUGGGCUACAAGCUAAAAAGCUCACUUAAGUGUAUGUGGUCAAUAUCUUAUAAUAUGCCAAAAUCACUUAAGCGUCUGGUACCUUAGCAUAUUUCGUAUUCUACUUAAGUACACCAUACCUUACGAUGUUCUACAAUUCACUUAAGUGCAACGUACCUUACGGUGUUCCUUAGUUACUCUAUCUCUCAUCAAUCCGUCCUUUUGUGUGUGACCCUGUAGGUUUUCACGGUAUUGGCAAUUAUAUUAAAUCACGUAUUUAAUAUAAUAAACAGUGAGUGGUAUCUAGCAACACAUCACUACUACCCAAGACACGAAAAUGUCAUGUGAUCUGACAAAUCCUUUUGUGAUAAUACUUGUGUGUAUAAUUA